rnacentral:rRNA from 1 species
UACAGAGGGUGCGAGCGUUGUCCGGAAUCACUGGGCGUAAAGGGCGCGUAGGUGGCCCGACAAGUCUGUGGUGAAAGCUCGACGCUCAACGUCGAGUCGGCCAUAGAUACUGUUGGGCUGGAGCACUGUAGAGGCUCAUGGAAUUCCUGGUGUAGCGGUGGAAUGCGCAGAUAUCAGGAGGAACACCGGUGGCGAAGGCGGGUCUCUGGGCUGUAACUGACGCUGGAGGAGCGAAAGCGUGGGUAGCGAACAGG